GAAACUGGGCGCAAGGUGAGGGGUGCUAUCUGUGAUUGAGGGACAUGGCAAAUAGAAUUGUCUCACACAGAAAUCGCACCCGUCACCUUGGCCCGCCUA
rnacentral:pre_miRNA from 12 species